rnacentral:rRNA from 1 species
AGUUUUUUUAGAAAUAAAUUUAAUUUACAAAUUUUUAAUUUUUAAUUUAUUUAUUAAAAUUAAAAAAUUAUUAAUUUGAAUAUUUUAAGGGAUAAGCUUUAAAAUAAAAUAUUAAAAAUAUUAAAUAAUUCAUUAAAAAUGUAUGUGUAGAAUUAGCAAUCAUUUAUAAAUUUGUUAUAAAUUAUUUUAUAAAAUUUAUUAUUUAUUAUUAUUUUAUUAUUUAUAAAAAUUUUUUUACAAAUUUUUAAUGAAAAAUAAUAAUGAUUUAAUUAGUAUAUAAAUAUUGUUUAAAUAUUUUAAAUUGAAAAGUUUAUAUAAAGAACUCGGCAAAUUUAUAAUUUAUAUUAUACUCGCCUGUUUAACAAAAACAUGUCUUUUUGAAUUGUAUUUAAAGUCUAACCUGCCCACUGAAUAAAUUUAAAUGGCCGCAGUAUUUUGACUGUGCAAAGGUAGCAUAAUCAUUAGUCUUUUAAUUGGAGGCUGGUAUGAAUGGUUGGACGAGGUAUAAGCUGUUUCAUAUAAAUUUAUUUUAGAAUUUUAUAUUUUAGUUAAAAAGCUAAAAUUUUAUUAAAAGACGAGAAGACCCUAUAAAUCUUUAUAUUUAAUUUUAUUUAAGUUUUUUUGAUUUGUUUUAUUUUUAUAAUAUUAGAUAUUUUGUUGGGGUGAUAUUAAAAUUUAAUGAACUUUUAAUUGUUUAAAAUCAUUAAUUUAUGAAUUAUUGAUCCAUUAAUAUUGAUUAUAAGAUUAAGUUACUUUAGGGAUAACAGCGUAAUUUUUUUUGAGAGUUCAUAUCGACAAAAAAGUUUGCGACCUCGAUGUUGGAUUAAGAUAUAAAUUUGGGUGUAGCUGUUCAAAUAUUAAGUCUGUUCGACUUUUA